rnacentral:rRNA from 1 species
CCUACGGGAGGCUGCAGUAGGGAAUUUUUCACAAUGGGCGAAAGCCUGAUGGAGCAACGCCGCGUGCAGGAUGAAGGCCUUCGGGUUGUAAACUGCUUUUAUAAGCGAGAAAUAUGAUGGUAACUUAUUAAUAAGGAUCGUCUAACUACGUGCCAGCAGCCGCGGUCAUACGUAGGAUCCGGGCAUUAACCGGAGUGACUGGGUGUAAAGAGUUGCGUAGGGGGAAUAAUAAGUAGCUAGUGAAAUCUGGUGGCUAAACCAUUCAGACUAUUAGCUAAACUGUUAAGCUCGAGACCGUUAGGGGUAACUGGAAUGUCUAGUGUAGGAGUGAAAUCCGUAGAUAUUAGAAGGAACACCAAUAGCGUAGGCAGGUUGCUGGGACGGUUCUGACACUAAGGCACGAAAGCGUAGGGAGCAAACGGGAUUAGAUACCCGGGUAGUC